rnacentral:tRNA from 1 species
GGGGGUUUGGUAUAGAGUGGUAGUGGUGCAGUCUCUAAAACUGCAUGUAUGGGUUCUAUUCCUUUAACUCUCGC